rnacentral:rRNA from 1 species
CCUACGGGUGGCAGCAGUGAGGAAUAUUGGUCAAUGGGCGGAAGCCUGAACCAGCCAAGUCGCGUGAGGGAUUAAGGCCCUAUGGGUCGUAAACCUCUUUUGUCAGGGAGCAAGGUCGUCCACGUGUGGGCGUAUGGAGAGUACCUGAAGAAAAAGCAUCGGCUAACUCCGUGCCAGCAGCCGCGGUAAUACGGAGGAUGCGAGCGUUAUCCGGAUUUAUUGGGUUUAAAGGGUGCGCAGGCGGUCUGUUAAGUCAGCGGUCAAAGCCCGGGGCUCAACCCCGGCCCGCCGUUGAAACUGGCAGUCUCGAGUUGGAGAGAAGUAUGCGGAAUGCGCGGUGUAGCGGUGAAAUGCAUAGAUAUCGCGCAGAACUCCGAUUGCGAAGGCAGCAUGCCGGCUCCACACUGACGCUGAGGCACGAAAGCGUGGGUAUCGAACAGGAUUAGAUACCCGAGUAGUC